AAGAUCGUUUCAAAUUUCAACUGACAAUAUGGGCCACGCUGCAGAAAAUGUUCAAGAAGUCGGUGAAAUUAAAGCACUAUGUAAGUUGAGAAGAUAUCCAGAGACCCUGUUGCUGGGUGGAGCUGUCUUGUUACUGUACGCAACCCCCAUGUCUGAAAAUAAGUGGAACUAGUCGGUUUCUGAAGCAAAGAAGAUGGCCAGGACUCCUUGCUGAUAGAUGGGAGCCAGAUAGAGUUGGUAGAGGUGAG